rnacentral:rRNA from 1 species
GGAAGUUGAGGGCGAGCAGCUGUGGGCGUCCGGAGGUGCCGAGCGUUGUCCGGAAUGAUUGGGCGUAAAUGGGUGGGAGGCGGUUGGGCACGGCGGGGGUGAAAAGUCAGGGCUCAACCCUGAGCGUGCGUCCGAUACGGGCCGACUAGAGGUAUGCAGGGGAGAACGGAAUUCCUGGUGUAGCGGUGGAAUGCGCAGAUAUCAGGAGGAACACCGGUGGCGAAGGCGGUUCUCUGGGCAUUACCUGACGCUGAGGAGCGAAAGCAUGGGGAGCGAACAGGAUUAGAUACCCGAGUAGUC